AAGAACGACUCUCGGCAACGGAUAUCUCGGCUCUCGCAUCGAUGAAGAACGUAGCGAAAUGNGAUACUUGGUGUGAAUUGCAGAAUCCCGUGAACCAUCGAGUCUUUGAACGCAAGUUGCGCCAGAAGCCAUCAGGUAGAGGGCACGUCUGCCUGGGCGUCACACGU
rnacentral:rRNA from 1 species